rnacentral:rRNA from 1 species
CAAGUCGAACGGUAAGGCCCUUCGGGGUACACGAGUGGCGAACGGGUGAGUAACACGUGGGUGAUCUGCCCUGCACUUCGGGAUAAGCCUGGGAAACUGGGUCUAAUACCGGAUAGGACUCCUGGCUUCAUGGUUGGGGGUGUAAAGCUUUUGCGGUGUGGGAUGGGCCCGCGGCCUAUCAGCUUGUUGUGGGGUAAUGGCCUACCAAGGCGACGACGGGUAGCCGGCCUGAGAGGGUGACCGGCCACACUGGGACUGAGAUACGGCCCAGACUCCUACGGGAGGCAGCAGUGGGGAAUAUUGCACAAUGGCGCAAGCCUGAUGCAGCGACGCCGCGUGAGGGAUGACGGCCUUCGGGUUGUAAACCUCUUUCAAUAGGGACGAAGCGCAAGUGACGGUACCUAUAGAAGAAGGACCGGCCAACUACGUG